GCGGCUGCCGGCUGCCAGCGAAGGGUUGGCGGGGUAAUCUCGUAGGGGAGCGCGAAGGAGCUUUACGGAGCGUCUGGUCUAACAAAGGGAUGAUUAACAAAGAUGGACAGCAUUAGAGUCACUGUGGGCUGCUGAAGUUGACCAGGUUUCACCACUGCCACAGAAAGGAGAACUAGAGCUCCCAGAGUACUCCAAUGCUAUUCUGCAUGGGAUUUCAGCUCAUCACAACACAGAAGAAACACUAGAAGCCCAAUGCUCUUCACUCAGUGUUGUCAAGCACGUGUCAGUGGGCUGGUAGAUUGAACUUUGUGUCCAUAAUGAAGAGGAGGAGCCAUGUGGUCUACCAGUAAAGACCCCAGACUGCUUCAAAUGCUGUCAGUUCCUUUCCUGAUGAAUGCCACAAAUAUCCUGCACAGAACACAGCACUGACCUGGUUAAUGCAGCACACUGGACUGGUAGUGGCACUCUUCUAAGGCUGUUCCUCCAGGAAGCUCACCAACAUCCUUGCAGGAUCAGUCUAAAGCUAUGCUUUGACACUGUGCCUUUUGCACAGAGAGGCAACCCUAAGGUUUUUGCAUACAUUGAUACACACAUGAGAAAGCAGAUACUUUCUCUAGUCCCAGGCAGUUGCAGUAAAGAUCCAUAGAGAACCUGAAUAGUCAUAAUUUCUUAGUGUGUUAAGCAGUUCAGACUAUGGAAAGAAGACAUUUCUGAGAAACAGAUUUUAUAGACUUGAGCUGAACAGAUUUUUGGCAUUAUUUGUAAGCUAGUCAUUGUUAAGCCUUUGUACUUAGAAGAGCAAUUAUGUCUCCUUUGGAAACAUCCUUAGUUGAACUCUUAAAAUAAUAAAAACACUCCUCCGUAAGACCACAUUAACAUAUGGUUUUCGUAAUGACAGCACAAACAAAUCACCCACUCAUCACACACAUUUAGGAAGAAGACAGGAACAAACAGAACAAAAAAUUUCUACAGAUUACUUAGAGGUCCUGAUCAAUCAAGGGAAAAAAAAAAAAAAAAAAAGUGAACUAAACUGAAUUCAGAAUUUGUCUAUGGGAUAUUGAAUACAGAUAAAAUAUGCAUCAUACAAAUAACCAAAACCAAAAAUACCACUGAACUUUGUAAGGCAAAGUUUAUAGAUAUCAAGCUGCAAAACUGUUUUGCAGAAAUGUCAAGCUGAGGAUGCCUAGCUUUCUAGUUUGCUUUUUAACUUUGGUGAUGCAUCAUCAGUAAGCAAGAAAGAGAAAAGGUGUGUUUGCACCAGUGACCAGCUGGAGUACCUGUGCUCCAAGGGGACUUAGCACCCCCCAGAAACUUGUGGGCAAGUCCCAGCCAAACCAGAGCCUUCACUACAUGCACUGCUUCACCUCCAAGAGUAGCAGCAGGAAUCUGCAUUCUUGAAGCUCAUGUGCAUCUUCUUGGGACUGAGCACAGGGAACAAACUGGACUACCAGCAGUGGCCAGCACAGCUCCCAUGCAGCUCCCUGUGACGGCAUCAGCAUGAUGUCAGAGCAGAGGAAAAAGAGCAAAUAAGAUCCACGUUCAAAAUGGAGUUUGUAGUCUGACAGAGACCCAGAGGGAGCCUUUACUGGGAAACAAUUAAAAAAAAUGAGCGAGAGCAAAUUCCUCUAAGGAGUGUUUUUGCCUACAUGUAGUUCUGUUGUUUUUGCUUGCUCUCUUCCAAGUGAAUCUAUGUCUUGUGAAUAAAAGAAUGGAUGAGAAAA